AUUGAACGCUGGCGGCAGGCCUAACACAUGCAAGUCGAGCGGAGCGGCGGACGGGUGAGUGAUGCCUAGGAAUCUGCCUGGUCGUGGGGGAUAACGUCCAGAAACGGGCGCUGAUACCGCAUACUAUCAGCAUAGCCUAGGUCGGAUUAGCUAGUUGGUGGGGUAAAGGCUCACCAAGGCGACGAUCCGUAACCGGCUUGAGAGGAUGAUCAUUCACACUGGAACUGAGACACGGUCCAGACUCCUACGGGAGGCAGCAGUGGGGAAUAUUGUACAAUGGGCGAAAGCCUGAUGCAGCCAUGCCGCGUGUUUGAAGAAGGUCUUCGGAUUGUAAAGCACUUUAAGUUGGGAGGCGUUACCAACAGAAGAAGCACCGGCUAACUUCGUGCCAGCAGCCGCGGUAAUUC
rnacentral:rRNA from 1 species